GGCCUCAUAGUAUAAUGGUUAGUACAACGGGUUUUCAUCCCGUCAAUGUGGGUUCAAUUCCCGCUGAGGUCACCA
rnacentral:tRNA from 1 species